GACAGAGGGGGCAAGCGUUGCUCGGAAUUACUGGGCGUAAAGGGCGCGUAGGCGGGAUGGCAAGUCGGUCGUGAAAUCCCUCGGCUCAACCGAGGAACGUCGAUCGAUACUGCUGUUCUUGAGGAUUGCAGAGGAGACUGGAAUUCCCGGUGUAGCGGUGAAAUGUGUAGAGAUCGGGAGGAACACCGGUGGCGAGGGCGGGUCUCUGGGCAAUUCCUGACGCUGAGGCGCGAAAGCGUGGGGAGCAAACGGG
rnacentral:rRNA from 1 species